rnacentral:lncRNA from 1 species
GAGCCGUGAAGUCUUUGAGUCUUUGUCCUGGCUCCCAUUUCUCUCCAAGUAACAGACACGAGAGAAAGUGUGGCCUCCUUAUUCUCCUUGGGGUCCCUGAAAGAACCUCACAGCAAUAGUUUACAAGUCUUUGGACUCAUGAAUAACUCAAUAUUACCAUUGUAGAUAAGGCUGCAAGGGGUGUGUGCUUGAAAACUCAUCUAAUAAAAGCUGUGAGGGGCAUAGAAUUAAAUAUGUCAUUUGCAAUGGGUUGAUGCAUUUCAUUUUCUGAAACAAUCAUUUAGCAGAGAAGAUGGAAUCAAUCACUGAAAUGGUUUCCGUGUUAGAAAAAGUCCCAAGAAUAUGGUUGAAGAUUCUGUCAUUGCCCAGGGCCCACUAAACUCAGGGCAGAUACUUGGACCAUUGACUUAUGCCUGCAUAGACUGUCAACUCCUCUGAGGACACGAAUCCUUUAAAUAACCCAUACGCUCCAGUGUAGUAUACACUUAUUUUUAACUGUUGGGUAUCCUUUAAUAAGUAUUUGUCAAAUUGAAUUGUACUGAAUUUUCAGAUAUUGCAACAGACUUUUAAAAAAUUACAUUGGUUUGAUUGAUAAUUGCCUUUUUAACCACCUCCACCCCCACAAAAAACUACCUCUUCCAGUGAAAGCCUAGGAAAGGCAAGGAGAGCAUUUCUGCUCCUGCUGCUUCCACUUUAACCCCCUCAAUCAGCUGAGGUUGGUGAGUCAUCCACUCCAGAGUGGUAGGCAUUUGUAGCCUGAACACUGUCACAUGUCCCCCAAGGGAGAGGUAUAAUCAGAAGAGCAAUAAUGACUUUCUGCGAGCUGGGAUGAAUGACCUUAUCCCCCAGGUCACCAGGCAAUCAUCUUCUGAAAUCUGCCACAGAUUUAUCACAAUCCUUUCUCUUUCUUUCCACACUGACAUUAUUCCCUCUUCCUUUGCCCCACACACUCCAGCUUGCAUCCAAGGGUUCUCUGAUUGAAUUGUCUGAGGAUGUAAACAGAACUUUCAUAUAUCCCAUCCUUCUCCUGGGUCAGGAGGGAAAGAAGUUGUUCUUGCCAAAAUAUAGGCUUAGUUACCUAUUGGUUUGAACAUUCUCAACACCCUCACCUCCCCAACACAUACACAAGCAUGCCCACAUGCACACACAAAGGGCCAACUGCACACGUUAAUGCCACAUCUUGCUAAUUGUGUUACCCUUGCUGGUUAUUAUUAAGGUCUUUCUUUCAGGAUGGAGAAACCCAGCCACAUAAUGAUCAAGGAGACAAGUGGAGCAUAUCACUGCAGCGACUGUGCAAUGAUAAUGAGUUACAUAAAUCAAAGUUGGGUAAUUUACCUAUCAGACUGAGCAGUGAAUAGGGAUUUUCAGUAACUGUGAUUGUUUGGUGAUAGAUUUUUUAAAAUAACUCUUGUAUGUAGAUGUUCUGGAACUAGAGAUUUGUUCCCCAAAGAGAGGCAGCAGAAUGCUGUGCAGAACAUGGCAUGGCAUGUCAAGAGACUCUUGAGCUAAUUUUAGCUCUGCCACCUUGGGGAAGGAAGCCAUUUCUCUUCUCAGGGCUUCUGAUUCUUCUGUGAAAUAAAAUGAACUUUGCACGCUCUAAAG